UUAUUUUUAUACUAUUUUCUUCUAAAAUAUCUAGGAUUGUAAUAUGUUAUGUGAUAUUAUUUCCGGGGAGCUGAUGUAAGAAUUGUAUUUUCCAGCCUCGUCCAAAAAUAAAUGCAAAGGAGGCUAUGGCCAUUUCAGACAUGAUAGAUGAUACAAUUACUCAGGUGAUGGGUGCUCUUAAAGGUUUUGAAAAAAAACUAGGUGGUGCCGAAAAGCCGAAAAAACAACCUGCAUCCAAGGAUGCAGGACAUGGCGUGAACCAAGGUGACAUGUCCUGCAUCCCUUCCGGCUUUUCGGCACCACAUAGUUUUUUUUUCAAACCUUUAAGAGCACCCAUCACCUGAGUAAUUGUAUCAUCUAUCAUGUCUGAAAUGGCCAUAGCCUCCUUUCCAUUUAUUUUCUUGGACGAGGCUGGAAAAUACAAUUCUUACAUCAGCUCCCCGGAA
rnacentral:lncRNA from 1 species